rnacentral:rRNA from 1 species
UGGGGAAUUUUGGACAAUGGGCGCAAGCCUGAUCCAGCCAUUCCGCGUGCAGGAUGAAGGCCUUCGGGUUGUAAACUGCUUUUGUACGGAACGAAACGGUCCUGGUUAAUACCCGGGGCUAAUGACGGUACCGUAAGAAUAAGCACCGGCUAACUACGUGCCAGCAGCCGCGGUAAUACGUAGGGUGCAAGCGUUAAUCGGAAUUACUGGGCGUAAAGCGUGCGCAGGCGGUGAUGUAAGACAGAUGUGAAAUCCCCGGGCUCAACCUGGGAACUGCAUUUGUGACUGCAUCGCUGGAGUGCGGCAGAGGGGGAUGGAAUUCCGCGUGUAGCAGUGAAAUGCGUAGAUAUGCGGAGGAACACCGAUGGCGAAGGCAAUCCCCUGGGCCUGCACUGACGCUCAUGCACGAAAGCGUGGGGAGCAAACA